rnacentral:rRNA from 1 species
ACGUAGGGACCAAGCGUUGUUCGGAUUUACUGGGCGUAAAGGGCGCGUAGGCGGCGCGGUAAGUCACUUGUGAAAUCUCUGAGCUUAACUCAGAACGGCCAAGUGAUACUGCAGUGCUAGAGUGUGGAAGGGGCAAUCGGAAUUCUUGGUGUAGCGGUGAAAUGCGUAGAUAUCUGGAGGAACACCGAUGGCGAAGGCAGCCCCCUGGACUAACACUGACGCUCAUGCACGAAAGCGUGGGGAGCAAACAGGA